rnacentral:rRNA from 1 species
UACGAAGGGGGCUAGCGUUGCUCGGAAUCACUGGGCGUAAAGGGCGCGUAGGUGGCGACCCAAGUCGAUGGUGAAAGCUCGCCGCUCAACGGCGAGUCGGCCACCGAUACUGGGUUGCUGGAGCACUGUAGAGGCAGAUGGAAUUCCGGGUGUAGCGGUGGAAUGCGUAGAGAUCCGGAAGAACACCAGUGGCGAAGGCGGCCCGCUGGGCAGUGGCUGACGCUGAAGCGCGACAGCGUGGGGAGCAAACAGG